rnacentral:rRNA from 1 species
UACGGAGGGGGCUAGCGUUGUUCGGAAUUACUGGGCGUAAAGGGCGCGUAGGCGGUCGUGACAAGUCACUUGUGAAAUCUCCGGGCUUAACUCGGAACGGUCAAGUGAUACUGUCGGACUAGAGUACAGAAGGGGCAACUGGAAUUCUCGGUGUAGCGGUGAAAUGCGCAGAUAUCAGGAGGAACACCAAUGGCGAAGGCAGCUCGCUGGGACGUGACUGACGCUGAGACGCGAAAGCGUGGGGAGCAAACAGG